rnacentral:rRNA from 1 species
GACGAACGCUGGCGGCGUGCUUAGCACAUGCAAGUCGAACGGAAAGGCCCUGCUUUUGUGGGGUGCUCGAGUGGCGAACGGGUGAGUAACACGUGAGUAACCUGCCCUUGGCUUUGGGAUAACUUCAGGAAACUGGGGCUAAUACCGGAUAGGAGCUCCUGCUGCAUGGUGGGGGUUGGAAAGUUUCGGCGGUUGGGGAUGGACUCGCGGCUUAUCAGCUUGUUGGUGGGGUAGUGGCUUACCAAGGCUUUGACGGGUAGCCGGCCUGAGAGGGUGACCGGCCACAUUGGGACUGAGAUACGGCCCAGACUCCUACGGGAGGCAGCAGUGGGGAAUAUUGCACAAUGGGCGGAAGCCUGAUGCAGCAACGCCGCGUGCGGGAUGACGGCCUUCGGGUUGUAAACCGCUUUCGCCUGUGACGAAGCGUGAGUGACGGUAAUGGGUAAAGAAGCACCGGCUAACUACGUG